UCACUUCUUGUUGGGGAGCACAUGAGAUUGGUUGGAAAGUUUGUAAGGAGGACAUUUUGAGAAAAGGGAAGUGUGUGGAAAGCUGCCUGCCCUGUUUACCAGAAAUCCGACUUAGGGGAACUUAGGGGAGUGUCAAAGGCAAUGCCCCUAUUUAUUCCUUGACCUUUCCAAACAAGCCUGUGCAUGUGCAGAUCCUUGGUGUUUACUGGAAUCCUUAUGCUUAAUCCCUGGAUGCCCUUGCCUAGAGGACAAUGUAAACAUAUGUCCUCCCAAGAUUGCUCACCCUGCUGAUUGCAUC